AAAAAAGGUAAGCUACUAAGAGCGAAUGGUGGAUGCCUUGACUGGUAAAGGCGAUGAAGGACGUACUAGACUGCGAUAAGCUACGGGGAGCUGUCAAGAAGCUUUGAUCCGUAGAUUUCCGAAUGGGGCAACCCAAUGUAUAGAGAUAUGCAUUACCUAUAUAGGAGCGAACGAGGGGAAUUGAAACAUCUUAGUACCCUCAGGAAAAGAAA
rnacentral:rRNA from 1 species